UACGUAGGGUGCAAGCGUUGUCCGGAAUUAUUGGGCGUAAAGAGCUUGUAGGCGGUUUGUCGCGUCUGCUGUGAAACUUUCGGGGCUCAACCCCGAACUUGCAGUGGGUACGGGCAGACUAGAGUGUGGUAGGGGAGACUGGAAUUCCUGGUGUAGCGGUGAAAUGCGCAGAUAUCAGGAGGAACACCGAUGGCGAAGGCGGGUCUCUGGGCAACAACUGACGCUGAGGAGCGAAAGCGUGGGGAGCGAACAGG
rnacentral:rRNA from 1 species